CCUACGGGAGGCAGCAGUGAGGAAUAUUGGUCAAUGGGCUUACGCCUGAACCAGCCAAGUCGCGUGAGGGAAGACUGCCCUAUGGGUUGUAAACCUCUUUUGUCAGGGAGCAAUUGGCGCUACGUGUAGCGUUAUCGAGAGUACCUGAAGAAAAAGCAUCGGCUAACUCCGUGCCAGCAGCCGCGGUAAUACGGAGGAUGCGAGCGUUAUCCGGAUUUAUUGGGUUUAAAGGGUGCGCAGGCGGUCUGUUAAGUCAGCGGUCAAAGCCCGGGGCUCAACCCCGGUCCGCCGUUGAAACUGGCAGU
rnacentral:rRNA from 1 species